ensembl:lncRNA
CUUUUGGAUGUUUAGACAAAUUGUUCAGUAAUUAUUUUUAUCAAAGUCCAUCUCUAAAGAUAUUGAACAAUUUCUUCAAGGUGGUCAGAGCAUCUGCAGUCUGGCUAUGACGGCUGGAUGAUUUGAGAAAGGUGUUUUUAAAGACAGGACUUGUUUCAACAUUAUGUUUUCCUGUUUAUCAACAGCUCAAGCAACCAAACACUGACUGGACUCUCACAAAAAACCAGAACACCUCUCUGAAAAGCUAUAACUCCAUCAACAUGGACGGCACCCUGAUGAGGAAAGCCAUGCAUGCAGACCCAGAGAACUACAUGGCCCCCGCGGCUGGCCAGUACUGGACCUGGGGCACCCACAUGCGGGACUAUAAGAUGUCUCCUCCGGCCACAGGCCCUCCUCCUCCUCGCUCCUGGACCCCCCGGUGCACCCCUCCCCCCCCGCCGCCGCCCCAACCACAGCCGCAGCAACUUCCGCCACACCCCCA